GGGAGAAUGGCUCAGUGGUAGAGUGCUUGCCUUCAAUGCACAAUGGCCUGGGUUCAAUUCUUAGUACCA
rnacentral:tRNA from 1 species